AAAGGGUGCGUAGGCGGCCUGUUAAGUCAGGGGUGAAAGACGGUAGCUCAACUAUCGCAGUGCCCUUGAUACUGAUGGGCUUGAAUGAACUAGAGGUAGGCGGAAUGAGACAAGUAGCGGUGAAAUGCAUAGAUAUGUCUCAGAACACCGAUUGCGAAGGCAGCUUACUAUGGUUCUAUUGACGCUGAGGCACGAAAGCGUGGGGAUCAAACAGGAUUAGAUACCCCGGU
rnacentral:rRNA from 1 species